rnacentral:rRNA from 1 species
GUAGGGAAUAUUGCACAAUGGGGGAAACCCUGAUGCAGCGACGCCGCGUGAGUGAUGAAGGCCUUCGGGUCGUAAAGCUCUGUCGUAUGGGACUAACAAAAUGAAGGUACCAUGCAAGAAAGGAUCGGCUAACUUCGUGCCAGCAGCCGCGGUAAGACGAGGGAUCCUAGCGUUGUCCGGAAUUAUUGGGCGUAAAGCGGGUGUAGGCGGGCCUGUCAGUCAGGUGUGAAAUCCCAGGGCUUAACCCUGGAAGUGCACUUGAUACUGCAGGUCUUGAGUGUGGUAGAGGCUAUUAGAAUUCUUGGUGUAGUGGUGAAAUACGUAGAUAUCAAGAGGAAUACCGGAGGCGAAGGCGGAUAGCUGGGCCAACACUGACGCUGAGACCCGAAAGCGUGGGGAUCAAACAGGAUUAGAAACCCUGGUAGUCC